rnacentral:rRNA from 1 species
AUUGAACGCUGGCGGCAGGCUUAACACAUGCAAGUCGAGCGGGGGAAGGUAGCUUGCUACCUAACCUAGCGGCGGACGGGUGAGUAAUGCUUGGGAAUCUGCCUAUUAGUGGGGGACAACAUUUCGAAAGGGAUGCUAAUACCGCAUACGCCCUAAGGGGGAAAGCAGGGGAUCUUCGGACCUUGCGCUAAUAGAUGAGCCCAAGUCGGAUUAGCUAGUUGGGGGGGUAAAGGCCUACCAAGGCGACGAUCUGUAGCGGGUCUGAGAGGAUGAUCCGCCACACUGGGACUGAGACACGGCCCAGACUCCUACGGGAGGCAGCAGUGGGGAAUAAUGGACAAUGGGGGGAACCCUGAUCCAGCCAUGCCGCGUGUGAAGAAGGCCUUUUGGUUGUAAAGCACUUUAAGCGAGGAGGAGGCUACCGAGAUUAAUACUCUUGGAUAGUGGACGUUACUCGCAGAAUAAGCACCGGCUAACUCUGUGCCAGCCGCCGCUGUAAUAC